rnacentral:rRNA from 1 species
UACGGAGGGAGCUAGCGUUGUUCGGAAUUACUGGGCGUAAAGGGCGCGUAGGCGGCCUGCUAAGUCGGACGUGAAAUCCCUCGGCUCAACCGAGGAACUGCGUCCGAUACUGGUGGGCUUGAAUCCGGGAGAGGGAUGUGGAAUUCCAGGUGUAGCGGUGAAAUGCGUAGAUAUCUGGAGGAACACCGGUGGCGAAGGCGGCAUCCUGGACCGGUAUUGACGCUGAGGCGCGAAAGCUAGGGGAGCAAACGGG